UACCAACAACAACCUUUUUAUUUUUCAUUUUUACUCUUUAGAGUAAAUACUCCUUUCAAGCUCCUACUUUUGUAGGAGCUUGUUUUUG
rnacentral:antisense_RNA from 1 species